GUCAGAUGACGCUGCGAGUGACCGCUCCACAUUACAGCGCCAUGUUUGCCCCAGAUGGUCAUAGUUCAAACUACACCCCAAGGGUUGCAGAAACUGCAAGCAAUACUGAAUGGAGGUCUGUUCUUUUGCGACAAAAAGGAUGCAACAGUCUGUCACUGAAGGAGUUCUCCAGUUCUGCAACAGCUUCAUGUAUGGCGUGGGAGACAUUUGUCCAACAGUGAUGUUAUUUUUACCAGAGUCCUUCCACCCAGGCACCUAUAGGAGUCCACUAUCUCAACGUCAGUUCUCUUGAUGUUCACGAGUGACGGUGUGGUGGAUCCACACCUGUGGACAUCCACCACCAGCUCCUUAGUUUUCCUGCAUUGAUGAGGAGGUGGUUCUGCUGGCACCAGUACACUUGGAAGCCAGGAUACAUCUACCCAGAGUGAUUGUUCCUACACUAUGUUGUGCUUUAAAGUUGUUUGAUAAAAUAAAAAUUCAAUAUUUUC